CUGAGUGAGUGAGUGAGUGAGUGAGUGAGUGAGUGAGUGAGUGAGUGAGUGAGUGAGUGAGUGAGUGAGUGAGUGAGUGAGUGAGUGAGUGAGUGAGUGAGUGAGUGAGUGAGUGCCGACCGAUACCCUCCUACACUCUUGAUCUUAUUUGAUCGGCCGGGAGGCCCGGGCCCCGGCCUGAGGUGAUGAGAAAAACCGCUCGCGAGCUGCCGGCGAUGGGCGGAGGCGGCGGGAAAGGUCCCGGGUGCAGCGGAGUUGAUGAACCGAUCAGAUAGAUGAGACCGCGGCUCAAAGCCCGGCCGCUGAGUAUCGAGGCGAUUCUGAUCCGC